CGACCGGCUGAGCAGCCCGCGGCCCGCCCGCUGAGUCAGGCGCCGCCCCGCCCGGCCCGCCCGGCGCCUAGCCGCCCGCCCUCUCGGCCCACCCGCAGCGGCCGGCCAGCUCUACAAGGGGAAACUGAGGCUCCGAGGAGCCGCCCCGCCCGGGCCCGCGGGCGAGCUGGGUGGGGGCUGCACGGGAGCUGUGGUUCCCGUGACCUGGGGGGCGCCUGGGCGGAAAGCCCCCGGAGGACAGGGCUGGGACGGAGAGAGGCAGCGGGGGCGGUGAAAGAGCUGCUGGGGUCUGGGGUCUGACCCUGCCUGCUGUGUGACCUCAGGCAAUGUUUUCCCUCUCUGGGCUUACCUUCACCGCCCGCGAGUCUGGUCUUCCACGCCGAAAAAGGCGCUUUACGUCUCCUUCUUGGUUGGGAGGGCCUCACUUUCCUUUUUGGAAAAUCAGGAAUAAUAAUUCCUGUCCCCUAAGGUCGUGGUGAGCCAAAAUAGGAUACAAAAAUGAGUUGGGUCAGAUAUGGAGCCUCUGGAGUCUGGAGAACACAGUAACACCAUGGGAGGCAGUGGAACCAUUUCUCCUAGGAAGCCCCCUGGGGCAUCCCAUCUGGUAACCCCCAAGCAGAGAAAUUGGUAAACUGAUCCUAAAUUUAUAUGGAAAUACAGAAGCUCCAGAAUAGCCAAAGCAAUCCUGAGAAAGAAAAGCAAAGUUGGAGAACUCACAUUUCCCAAUUCGAAUUUACAGUAAAGUUAAAAUAAUCAAGACAAUGUGGUACUGACAUAAGGGUGGACAUAUGGAUCAAUGGACUGGAAUUGAGAGUCCAAAAAUAAAGAAACCAGAAAUAAACAAGAUAUAAGAAUACACAUUUUUCUUUCUUUCUUUCUUUCUUUGUUUUUCGAAAAGGAGUCUCACUCUGUCUACCAGGCUGGAGUGCAAUGGCGCAAUCUCGGCUCAUUGCAACCUUUGCCUCCCUGGUUCAAGCAGUUCUCCUGCCUCAGCCUCCUAAGUAGCUGGGAUUAUAGGCAUGGCCACCACGCCCGGCUAAUUUUUUUUUUUUUUUUUAGUAGAGACAGAGUUUCACCAUGUUGGUCAGGCUGGUCUUGAACUCCUGACCCCGUGAUCCUCCCACCUUGGCGUCUCAAAGUGCUGGGAUUACAGGUGUGAGCCACUGCGCCCAGCACACAUUUUUCAAUUGAUCUUUUUCUUUUCUUUUCUGUUUUUUUUGGAAACAGGGUUGCUCUGUUGCCCAGACUGGAUUGCUGUAGCUUGAUGAUAGGUCACUGUAGCCUAUAAUUACUGGGUUCAAGCAAUCCUCCUGCCUCAGCCUCCCAAGCACCUAAGACUACAGGUGUAUACUACUGUGCUCGGCUAAUUUAAACAAUUUUUUGUAGAGACAAUGUCUCAUUGUGUUGCCAACGCUGGUUUCAAACUCCUGGUUUCAAGUGAUCCUGUUUCCCUGACCUUUCAAAGUGGUGGGAUUACAGGUAGGAGCCACCAUGCCCAGCCUUGGUUGACCGAGUUUUGGCAAGGAUGCCAACAUGAUCCAAGGGAGAAAUGAUAGUCUUUCAACAAUGGGCGGGGACAAUUGGGUAUCCCAUGCAAAGGAUGAAGCUGGACCCCUAACUCAUACCAUGUACAAAAGUUAACUCAAAGGCUGGCUGUGGUGGAACAUGCCUAUAAUCCCAGCUAUUUGGGAGGCUGAGGCAAGAGAAUCACUUGAACCCAGGAGACAGAGGUUGCAGUGAGCCAAGAUCCCACCACUGCCCGCCAGCCUGGCAACAGAGCAAGACUCCAUCUCAAAAAAAUAAAAAUUAACUAAAACUGAAUCAAAGACCUAAAUGUAAGAGUUGGAACUAUAAAACUCUUAAGAAAUGGCCGGGCGCGGUGGCUCACACCUGUAAUCCCAGCACUUUGGGAGGCCGAGGUGGGUGGAUCACGAGGUCAAGAGAUUGAGACCAUCCUGGUGAACAUGGUGAAACCCCAUCUCUACUAAAAAUACAAAAAUUAGCUGGGCAUGGUGGUGCACGCCUGUAGUCCCAGCUACUCGGGAGGCUGAAGCAGGAGAACUGCUUGAACCCAGAAGGCAGAGGUUGUGGUGAGCCGAGAUCGUACCAUUGCACUCCAGUCUGGGCAACAACAGCGAAACUCCGUUUAAAAAAAAAAAAAAAAAGGAAAGAAAACAUAGACAUAAGUCUUUGUGACCCUGGAUUAGACAAGGCAUGAUGACACUAAAAGCAAAAGCAACCAAAGAAAAAUAGGUAACCAUGAUAUCCUCAAAAUUAAAGACUUCUGUGCUUCAAAAGAUACCAUUAGGUGAAAAGAUCAUCAUCAGUGAAAAGAUGAUCCGUUGAAACUAUUUGCAAAUCAUCAUCUGAUAAAAGUCUAGUAUCCAAAAUACAUUAAAAAAAGUCUUACAAUUCAACAACAAAAGGACAAAUACAAACUGCCUUUUUUUUUUGCAUAAAUUGGAAAACUGAUCCUAAAUUUAUAUGGAAAUACAGAAGAUCCAGGAUAGCUGAAACAGUCAAAACAAAACAAAAAGAGGCAAAGGAUUUUAACAGACAUUUCUCCAAACAAGAAACAUAGAUGGCUAAUAAGUACAGGAAAAAAUGCUCAACAUUGUUAGUCAAUAGGGGACUACAAAUAAAGACUACAGUAGGGUACCACUUCAUAUCCACUAGCAUGGCUAUAACCAGAAAGACAGACACUAACAAGUGUUGGUGAAGAUGUGGAGAAAUUGGAACCCUCAUGUACUACUGAUGAGGAUAUAAAAUGAUGCAAGCACUAUAAGCCUGGGCAACAUAGUGAGACACCAACUUUACAAAAAAAUUUAAAAAUUAGCCAGACAUGAUGAUAUGCACCUGUGGUCCCAGCUACUUGCGAGGCUGAGGUGGGAGAAUCUCGUGAGCCCAGGAGGUCAAGGCUGUAAUAAGCCAUGAUCACACCACUGCACUCCAGCCUAGGCAAAAGAGCAAACCUGUCUCUAAAAAAAAAAAAAAAGAAAAGAAAAGAAAAAACAAACAAACAUAGAAUUAUGUGACCCAGCGGUUUCAUUCCUAGGUAUAUUCCCAAAAGAACUGAGACAUAUUCAUACAAAAACUUGUGUAAGUGUUCAGAGCAGUAUUGUUUACAAUUGUAUUACCACAAUCAGACAGGAACCCACACUCUCUGCCUUCUUUCCUCUUACCAUAAAUGAAGUCCUCUUGCUCCUUUCCAAGGCUAACUCUCACCUUGUCAAGGCUUUGCUUCUGCAAUUACAUGCUUUUUGUCCUGCAACACCAGACAAUCUCUCUCUCCCCACAAUGGAACAUUCCAGUCAACACAUAAAGAUGCCAUGUAUUUACAUCUUAACACAACAUGAAACAACAAACCUCCCUUGACUCUACUUGCCCUCCGGAUACUACUCAUUUUUCCCCCUUCAUUCCUACUUCUUUGAAUCUCAUGACUCUUCAACACACUCUCUUUAGGCUCCCCACCUCACCACUCCACUGAAACUGCUCUUACCAAGAAUGCCCACAACUUUCAUGCUGCCAAAUCCAGUGGGCACACUAGUCUGUUGUCACCUUAACCUCUCAGCAAUGAUCAAGCAAGAUGACCACUCUCUCUUGCUUAAAACAUGCUUCUUUUGGUUCUGUGACCCCACACCCCUUCAGGUUUUCCUCCUGCCUUUGUAACCAUUCAUUCUUGGUCCCUUUAAGUUGAUUUUUCCCUCCUGGACCUCUAAGUCCAGUCCUCAAUGGCCCAUUCUAAGGUCAAGUCUUUGACCUCAUUAUCAUCAAUAACUAUACUACUUCUAAGGCCUUACAUUUCAGCACCCUACCCCAAAAACCCAUCUUCUAUCUUUCCAGACCUCUGACUCUAAUAUCCUAACAAUUCUUUGGCUUCUUGAGAUCUCCAUUCUUUGACCCUUCGUGAUGGCACACUUGAAAAUUUGGUCAAAGUCCUCUUCUUUUCUCAUCUAUACCCUCUUAACGAUCUCAUCCAUACCCUUGGUUUUUAUACUGUCAAUGUGUCAAUGAUUCCUAUAUACAGUUGCCCUUCAGCAUCCAUAGGGGAUUGGUUCCAGGAACCCUUCAGAUGCCAAAAAUUUUGGAUGCUCAAGUCCUUUAUAUGAAAUGCCAUAGUUAUAUGUUAUGUAUUGUAUUUGCAUAUUACCUAUGCACAUC